GAAUCAGGCCAAGACACAGAAAUAUACUGCAUGCCAAAAUGUAAAGGUGACAUGAGUGAUCAAAAGAGAGGGAAAGUGAAAGGUCAAGGGAGAAACUCUCAGCAUGUAGGUACAGAACCAUUUCCAUGAGGUCAGCUACAUUCCAAAGUGGCUGCGGCACUGGAUGGGAGCUGUUGGGACAUGCUGCACAGCCCAAGACAGUCUUUGAAGAUGGCUGGAUGCAUGACCUUGUCAUAUACGUAAAACAUCCACAGACUAACUGGAAAAGGACUUCACCUCAGCCAAAGUGAGUGCAUUGCAGAAUAAGUGCAGAGAGCUUACCUUGGUUUUUAAAGAUAUUGCAAUCCGUUUUAAUUGGGGAUCUCAUUGCAAUGUGCUCCUAUGUCUUGAGACAGGGCCUUCAAGAGGAUCAAUAUUUCCAGGAUGUUGGUAUUAGCAUCCAUUGUUCGCUGGCUAGAUCUUUUCCAACAGAGCAUGUGACUCUCAUCAUUACAGCAGAGGAAUGCAUUUAUCAAAGUUAAGGAAGUCGUUUGCCAUUCGGAUGGCCCAAGAAGCAUAAAUAUUUAUCAUUGAGCCUUGUGAGAACUCUCUAUUAUAAAAAGAUUGGCUAAUUUCUUAAAACUACUCCUUCAAUAAGGACCCAGGUUAUGUGCCAUGGUAUCUGUAGCUUUCUGGCUGGGUCAGGGUGACCCGCACACAACCCUGGCAGGACGCCCUUGGACACAGUAUUUGCAUCCCUUUGGUGUGC
ensembl:lncRNA LINC01706 long intergenic non-protein coding RNA 1706